CGUCCACCUCUGCCUCCCAAAGUGCUGGGAUUACAGGCAUGAGCCACUGUGCCUGGCCCAAAUUGCUUUUUACAGUGGCUGGACUAAUUUAUAUUCCCACUAACAAUAUAUAAGUGUAGGGAGAUGACUUCUUAACCAAAGACCUGAUGUCUAGGAGUUUGCAGCAAUAAUGCAAAUGACAACAACUGUAUUUAAUCAACUGUUAAUACCACCCUGCUGGUGCUUUCUCCAAAGCUUUCAAGUUGCAGCCUCAGCAGAUAAUGAGGUAUGGGUCGUAAUUUUAAGAAAACCACCACCAGAUGAAGAAGCUUGUGUCUGAGGUUAGAAGUGGAAACAGGGAUAGCAGGCAGGAUUGAGGGAAACUGCCCCGGGCUUAGGAUGAGACCAGAGACAGGUUGGCUGCUGUGCGGGAGGGAAGCCACUCGGCUGGAUAGGAUGAUGUAAAGUGCUCCCACAGCGUCUUGUCCACAGGGGGUGCACCACCAGCAUCCUCCUUGGAAAUGCUGGCCACAGGUGCCCUGUGUAGAAGCACAAGUGAGUUGGUGAAGAGCGGAUCCCCACCACCAAGGACUGUGUGGAAGGAAUGAGUCCACAUCCCUGACUGAUUUGGCCGACUCCGUGUGUUCCCUGGGCUGAAGUGAGUGUCCUGCUGGACUCUACAAGGCCACCCUCAGCGUGUCAGUUUCUGGGAAAAAGGCCCUUCCUAGGCAUCACCUCUGGCCGAAGCCUGCCAUCCUAACCUUUGGCUCCUGGCUUCCAGACUUUCUGGGAAGAGAAGGGAAAGGAUUCCUGAUGAAGAGGAUCUAAGCAUAGUCCCUGAUUUGAUAUCCAGUCUCAUUCACAACCUUGCACUGUGUCCUUGGGCCAAAGCUUUGGGCCCACUGAGGAAAAUCAAAAGAAUGAGCUGCCACCAAUUCCCAAAGAUACAUCUCCAAGAGGAAGUGGGGCAGCAGCACCGCCACCGGAACAAGUGUGGGUCUCUCAAGGUGAGUUCUCUGAGAGGGACAGUGGCAGGGUGGGGAAGGGACCUAGUCUAGUAAGUCAUGUUCACAGGGCAGGCAUCGCCAGGCUCUGUACACACAGGAUACACUGAAAUGACCAAACCCUGAUGCCAGGCCACCCACCAGAGCCCUCCCCACCUGUGGACAUGGCUGAAAAGAUCAGCCUCACACCAGGAACCAGAGAUAGCACCAAUGGGCCGUAUUUUCCAAAAGUGAGGCCUAGCCAAAGCUGGCAGUGGGCAGAUCUGACCCCACGUCAACCCGCCAAUCAGUUUUGAGUACAAAAGUUGCUGUGCAGAGUAGGCAUAUAACAUAUGUUUGCUGAAUGGGACAGAGUCUAUGAAAGAUGAAAGGUUUAUAAUGUAUUGAUUUCAAAUUUCAAAUUUUAUAACAGCAUAAAGUUGUCCCCCUUCCUUAAAUGGAAAGGCAAAGAGGAGAACAUAAAAAGAGGCCCAGCCUUUAGGUCUGACCCCAAAAUGAUUGAGAGGACCUACAGGCAUCUCUGCAGUCUACUGGUCACCGGCUUUGCUAUUACACAGAGGCUGAGAUUCCAGUCUCAGCUCUGCCAUUUUCCAGCUGCACACAUGCUUGGUCAGCUAGCCACUGGGAGAUGUGUCAUAAACAAAGUCAACCACGUCUCCCCAUCUUCCCAGGGCCUAGCUGUGGUAAGCAUGUACUUAAGGUGCCGAGGACGGCCCCUGGCAUGCAGAAUAUGCUUAAUAAAGGUCAGUGGCUGCUUCUCCAAAUCAAAC
rnacentral:lncRNA from 1 species